rnacentral:lncRNA from 1 species
GGGCUGUUUAAGAAUUGCAAAUGAGAUUCUAAACAGGAAAGGGGGUGAAAAGGGUGUUAUUGUCAUCACUGGAUCACUGCAUAUUGUAUCCUCGGUAUUAGCUUCUCUUGCUGAGUAAUGGCUUUUUCAUACUGAAGCUAAUGAAAUGGAUUUUCUAUGCAUUAGAAAACAAAAUGGUAUCUUAUGAAAUGGAUUUUCUAUGUAUUAGAAAACAAAAUGGUAUCUUUUGAUGUUUACGCUUCAACCAUGCAAAGAGGAUCUUGAAUUGCAGUCUCCAUGUAACAGUUCUCUGGUACUGGAACUUUGGAUAUCGUUACAUAAAUG